ACUAUUCAAGUGGAACAGUGUCUCUAAAAAAAAGUGGUAAAUAUUCCGCAGCGUGUAAAAUUUAGUGCAUGUAUUCGAAAACGUGUAAAUUCGCCAUUACACUUUGACAGCUGCAGGAAGCAUCCACUUCGGACAUAUUGGACCAUGAAGAUGUGCAACAAAAACAAACAGAGGGAGGUAGCUAGCAACUCGCCAAAUUCCUGGUAUCAUCGGAAGCGUCCUAAUCCGCAAGUACACCAGCUGCUGGACAUAAACAUGUAAAAAAAAAGCGUUAUGAGAAAUAAAAAUUACA